rnacentral:misc_RNA from 1 species
GAAAUGCGAUAAGUAAUGCGAAUUGCAGAAUUUCCGUGAGUCAUCGAAUCUUUGAACGCACAUUGCGCCCUCUGGCAUUCCGGGGGGCAUGCCUGUCCGAGCGUCAUUACGCACCCUCAAGCCCGGCUUGUGUGAUGGGCCCUGGCGUCUCGUUCGCGAGACGGGCCCGAAAGGCAGCGGCGGCGUCGACCCGAUGAGCCCGAGCGUAUGGGGACUUUUGUCACACGUUUGCGGUGCGGACCGGCGCCUGCUUGACUUUUCUGAUUAUCCAGGUUGACUCGGAUCAGGUAGGGAUACCCGCUGAACUUAAGC